rnacentral:rRNA from 1 species
ACCUGACUGCUAUCGGAUUGAUACUAAGCCAUGCGAGUCUUUGUAGUAAUACAAGGCAUACGGCUCAGUAACGCGUAGUCAACCUACCCUAUGGACAAGAAUAAUCUCGGGAAACUGAGCAUAAUUCUUGAUAGAUCAUAAUGCCUGGAAUGGUUUAUGGUUAAAAUGAUUCGUCGCCAUAGGAUGGGACUGCGGCCUAUCAGCUUGUUGGUGAGGUAAUGGCCCACCAAGGCGAUAACAGGUACGGGCUCUGAGAGGAGAAGCCCGGAGAUGGGUACUGAGACAAGGACCCAGGCCCUAUGGGGCGCAGCAGGCGAGAAAACUUUGCAAUGUGCGAAAGCACGACAAGGUUAGUCCGAGUGAUUUCUGCUAAAGAGAUCUUUUGCUAGUUAUAAAACCACUAGUGAAUAAGGGGUGGGCAAGUUCUGGUGUCAGCCGCCGCGGUAAAACCAGCACCUCAAGUGGUCAGGAUGAUUAUUGGGCCUAAAGCAUCCGUAGCCGGCUCUGUAAGUUUUCGGUUAAAUCCAUACGCUCAACGUAUGGGCUGCCGAAAAUACUGCAGAGAUAGGGAGUGGGAGAGGUAGACGGUACUCGGUAGGAAGGGGUAAAAUCCUUUGAACUAUCGAUGACCACCUGUGGCGAAGGCGGUCUACCAGAACACGUUCGACGGUGAGGGAUGAAAGCUGGGGGAGCAAACCGGAUUAGAUACCCGGGUAGUCCCAGCUGUAAACGAUGCAGACUCGAUGAUGCAUUGGCAUAUAGCCAGUGCAGUGUCGCAGGGAAGCCGUUAAGUCUGCCGCCUGGGAAGUACGUACGCAAGUAUGAAACUUAAAGGAAUUGGCGGGGGAGCACCACAAGGGGUGAAGCCUGCGGUUC